GACGAACGCUGGCGGCGUGUCUAAUACAUGCAAGUCGAACGCAGUGGGGACGGGUGAGUAACACGUGGGUAACCUCCCAUCAGAGGGGAUAACACUUGGAAACAGGUGCUAAACCGAUACUGAUGGAUGGACCCGCGGUGCAUUAGCUAGUUGGUGAGGUAACGGCGCACCAAGGCCACGAUGCAUAGACGACCUGGGGGGGUGGUCGGACACACUGGGACUGAGAAACGGCCCAUAUGCCAACGGGAGGCAGCAGAAGGGAAUCUUCGGAAAUGGACGAAAGUGUGACCGAGCAACGCCGCGUGAGUGAAGAAGGUUUUCGGAUCGUAAAACUCUGUUGUUAGAGAAGCGGUAUCUAACCAGAAAGCCACGGCUAACUACGUGCCAGCAGCCGCGGUAAUUC
rnacentral:rRNA from 1 species